AGCAGUAGCCGCGGUAAUACGAGGGGUGCAAGCGUUAUUCGGAUUGAUUGGGUGUAAAGGGUGUGCAGACGGCUUAUUAAGUCACUUGUUAAAUUCUUCGGCCUAACUGAAGGUCUGCAAGUGAUACUGAUGAGCUAGAGGGUGGAAGAGAGAAGUGGAAUUCUCGGAGUAGCGGUAAAAUGCGUAGAUCUCGAGAGGAACACCAAUGGCGAAGGCAGCUUCUUGGUCCAUUCCUGACGUUCAUACACGAAAGCGUGGGGAGCGAACAGGAUUAGAUACCCCCGUAGUCCCUGUCUCUUAUAC
rnacentral:rRNA from 1 species